AGAGUUUGAUCCUGGCUCAGAACGAACGUUGGCGGCGUGGAUUAGGCAUGCAAGUCGAGCGAACCUUCAUCGGGUAGCAAUACUUGGUGAAGGGAAGCGGCGCAAGGGGCAGUAAUGCGUGGGUAACGUACCCCGGGGAUGGGAGCAUAGAGGUAACACUCGUAAAUUCCCAGCGAUCUGGCGAGGUGGCAUCAUCUUGCCAGGAAAUGAGUUUCGCCUCGGGGGCGGCUCACGUGAUAUUAGCUAGUUGGUGAGGUAACGGCUCACCAAGGCAAAGAUGUCUAGCGGGUGUGAGAGCACGACCCGCGCCACUGGCACUGAGACACUGGCCAGACACCUACGGGUGGCUGCAGUCGAGGAUCUUUGGCAAUGGGCGCAAGCCUGACCAAGCGACGCCGCGUGUGCGAUGAAGGCCUUCGGGUUGUAAAGCACUGUCGAGGGGGAUCAAAGCGCAAGCUUGAGUGUCCCUGAGAG
rnacentral:rRNA from 1 species